CCUACGGGUAGCAGCAGUGAGGAAUAUUGGUCAAUGGACGAGAGUCUGAACCAGCCAAGUAGCGUGAAGGAUGACUGCCCUAUGGGUUGUAAACUUCUUUUAUAUGGGAAUAAAAUGUUCCACGUGUGUGAUUUUGUAUGUACCAUAUGAAUAAGGAUCGGCUAACUCCGUGCCAGCAGCCGCGGUAAUACGGAGGAUCCGAGCGUUAUCCGGAUUUAUUGGGUUUAAAGGGAGCGUAGGUGGAUUGUUAAGUCAGUUGUGAAAGUUUGCGGCUCAACCGUAAAAUUGCAGUUGAAACUGGCAGUCUUGAGUACAGUAGAGGUGGGCGGAAUUCGUGGUGUAGCGGUGAAAUGCUUAGAUAUCACGAAGAACUCCGAUUGCGAAGGCAGUUCACUGGACUGCAACUGACACUGAGGCUCGAAAGUGUGGGUAUCAAACAGGAUUAGAUACCCCAGUAGUC
rnacentral:rRNA from 1 species